UACGGAGGAGGCAAGCGUUAUCCGGAAUUAUUGGGCGUAAAGCGUCCGUAGGUGGCUCUCUCAAGUCUGCGGUCAAAGACCGGGGUUCAACCCUGGAAAGGCCGUGGAAACUGGUGAGCUAGAGUGCGGUAGGGGCAGAGGGAAUUCCCAGUGUAGCGGUGAAAUGCGUAGAGCUCGGGAAGAACAUCGGUGGCGAAAGCGCUCUGCUGGACUGCAACUGACACUCAGGGACGAAAGCUAGGGGAGCGAAUGGG
rnacentral:rRNA from 1 species